rnacentral:rRNA from 1 species
UCGAGGAUCUUCGGCAAUGGGCGCAAGCCUGACCGAGCGACGCCGCGUGCGCGAUGAAGGCCUUCGGGUUGUAAAGCGCUGUCGAGGGGGAGGAAAGCCCGCAAGGGUCUGACUAAUCCCUGGAGGAAGCACGGGCUAAGUUCGUGCCAGCAGCCGCGGUAAGACGAACCGUGCGAACGUUGUUCGGAAUCACUGGGCUUAAAGGGCGCGUAGGCGGACCACCAAGUCGGGGGUGAAAUCUUUCAGCCCAACUGGAAAAGGGCUUCCGAUACUGGUGGUCUCGAGGGAGGUAGGGGUCGAGGGAACUGGUGGUGGAGCGGUGAAAUGCGUAGAUAUCACUAGGAACGCCGGUGGCGAAAGCGCUCGACUGGACCUCUUCUGACGCUGAGGCGCGAAAGCCAGGGGAGCAAACGGGAUUAGAUACCCCCGUAGUCC